GUCCCUUUUUCUCCCAGAUAUGCUCAGGCGGCGGCUGCUGCAAAGGAGAAGAAGGGGAGGCGGUGGACGCCACUCCUUCACCUGGUUCACUUUCUGCGCCAUCCGAAGUUCCUCGUUCCUUUCUCCUCUGUCAUAGAGACGCUCACCGUCGCAAAAACCCAGCAGCGUGCUCAGGCGUACUAUCAUGGGAUCCGACCUCGCACAGGCGCCUGACCAGAAAGGGAAUUGCAUAUGAGGGCGAAGGGAGCAAGAGAAGGUAGUGCACAAUCAUAGAGUGUUGGUCCAAAUCCUGCAGCGGUUCAUGGCUGGCCAUCUACACCCUGGGAGGCAAAGCUACGCCUCGGCCACUUCAGCCCCAUAUUAUAUCCUCAAAUCCUCAACCACCUUGCUUAUUUUGAAGGGAGGAUAGUGUUGCUGAUUUCCUGUACUCAUGCGUCAUGGACAUCUCGGGAGAAUGUUGUCAGAAGACUUGGAGUACUUUUUUUGUAUUAUAGAUUCCCUGAUUUUGUACCUCAGCCUUCGAUGGGGAGCUCUCACCGAUUUGGCUGCUAGAAUAUCCUAGGAUGUAAUGCUGCAGCUUUGUAGAAGUUCAUUUGAAGCUGCCAACACUCUGGAAGUUGUUAUUUUUCACGGAAAUUUGGCAACCAUCCUUGCCCCUCUUCAAUUUCUUCUAAAUCAAUGCCACAAAUGCAACUUCCUUUAUGUAAAUCUUGAUUGUUAAUUUAUCAUGUAGUAAUUAUUAGCAACGAUGAAGUACAUCAGGUAACUGUUAGCAACGAUGAAGUACAUCAGGUAGAAUAAGAAACUCAUAUACUUAUGUGAGCAUUCCUAUAUUAGUUUGAAGAGUGAUUUCAGUUUAGCUGCAGUACAUGACAUGUGACGUUCAAUAGACCAUUCCUACAUUAGUUUGAAGACUAAUUUUAGUUAGCUACAGUAAAUAGACCAUUCUGAAAUUCAGUUUUCUAAGAAUUGUCUGAUUGGCUUGGUUAAGCUGUCAAACUUUACAUUGGUCAACUGAUUUGUCUAAUUUAUGCUUCAAAUCAGAUAUCAUUAGAAAGUCAUUCCUACAAUACCCUAGCACUUGAUUAACCGAACUACAUCAUCAAAUUGCCAGCUUUAGAGUUUCAAAUAAGACCAAUAGUUAUUUGCUUUGCACUCUUAUAUUUCCUUUUGAUAAAAGACCUACGCUUUUAGUAUUCUUAUUUUCUUCUUGUCAUUUUUUCUAUAUAAGAACGAAAGAUUUAUUUUGGCUCUAAAAUACAUUAGUUAGAACAUAAAUAAGCCUUCUUUUCUCUGAUUAAUGAGUACUAAAAACUUUGCCUUGAAACAAAUUAUUUGCACAUACCUAUCCAUAAGCACUGAUAGUAUUGUCUCUACCUUUGUUGGAAUAAGUAGCUGCUGUUUUAUCCCUAGGGAAUGGACUUCUUUGAGUAGUGAGUAUUAAACCUUCUGUAUCAAACAAUUUAUUUUCGUAUGCCUAUUGAUAAGCACUAGGAUUAUUGUCUCUACCUUUGAAGGAACUAGGAAAAGUAGAUGGCGGGAGGUAUCUAUUUAGAUACAACAUAUAAAUAGCUGGUGUAUAGUCCCUAUGGACUUCCUUGAAGGAAAAAUAACUUGUUUGAUCAGCCUACCAAGAUAUCCUUAAUGAUGCAUUAAACCGGCAACAAUGUUAAAUUUGAUCUGGUUGUGACUGAAUUAUUUUUCGGGAAGUGACUUUAAAGUUUCAUGCAUUAUUUGUCAUGUUCAUGUAUUCAUUUCAACUAUAAAUAUGAGAUUAUUAGAUGUAAAAAAUAUAUGAAUUGUGUCACAGGAAACUGAAAAUAAGAAAAGCAACAUGAUCUUAUCUCUGGUUAUUCAUGCUGAAUAUGUAUUAGAGCAGAGUAUGAAAUCGUAUUGUUUCAUGAAAUUCAUUACUUAUAUCAGCUUAUUUUUGCCAAAUUAUUGAUGUUUUGCAUUCAUAUCUUUCGUCAUUUCGUUUUGCUCCAAAAGUUCAUCCUUUUUCCAUGCAUUGAGAUCCUAUCUCUUGUAAGGAAAUGACAAUAUAAAUAAUACGGAAGUCACCAAAGAAGGGAAAUAUGUAAAAGAUAGUAGAUGCUUCUUUACAAAUGUUAGUUGGUUACUAUUAUUCAUAUUCAAUCUGUUUACUACCAGGAUAUUUCUAGCAUUAGUUUAGUGAAUUACUAACAAGGUACUUUACCGAAUAUUCACUACAUGGAUGUUAUCCG